rnacentral:rRNA from 1 species
GAUCAUGGCUCAGGAUAAACGCUGGCGGCGCACAUAAGACAUGCAAGUCGAACGGAAGUCGUUAUAAAAAGGAUUGAGGAUUUAUCCGAUUGAGAUUUUAUAACAAUGGCUUUAGUGGCGGACUGGUGAGUAACGCGUGAGCAACCUGCCUACUAGAGGGGAAUAACAGUGAGAAAUCACUGCUAAUACCGCAUAUGCCAUGAACAUCACAUGAUGAAAAUGGGAAAGAAG